rnacentral:rRNA from 1 species
GAUGAACGCUGGCGGCGUGCCUAAUACAUGCAAGUCGAGCGAACAGAUGAGAAGCUUGCUUCUCUGAUGUUAGCGGCGGACGGGUGAGUAACACGUGGGUAACCUACCUAUAAGACUGGGAUAACUCCGGGAAACCGGGGCUAAUACCGGAUAAUAUUUUGAACCGCAUGGUUCAAUAGUGAAAGAGGGUUUCGGCUGUCACCUAUAGAUGGAACCGCGCCGUAUUAGCUAGUUGGUAAGGUAACGGCUUACCAAGGCGACGAUACGUAGCCGACCUGAGAGGGUGAUCGGCCACACUGGAACUGAGACACGGUCCAGACUCCUACGGGAGGCAGCAGUAGGGAAUCUUCCGCAAUGGGCGAAAGCCUGACGGAGCAACGCCGCGUGAGUGAUGAAGGUCUUCGGAUCGUAAAACUCUGUUGUUAGGGAAGAACAAAUUUGUUAGUAACUGAACAAGUCUUGACGGUACCUAACCAGAAAGCCACGGCUAACUACGUGCCAGCCGCCGCCGUAA